AAUUUUCUGCCACCGAAUACAUUAGCAUGGGAUAAUGGAAUAGGACCCUGUCCUCCAAUUUUCAGUUGGUUUUGGCAGCGCGAGGACUAGGGUAAUGAUUAAUAGGGAUAGUUGGGGGCAUUAAUAUUUAAUUGUCAGAGGUGAAAUUCUUGGAUUUAUGAAAGAUUAACUUCUGCGAAAGCAUCUGCCAAGGAUGUUUUCAUUAAUCAAGAACGAAAGUUAGGGGAUCGAAGACGAUCAGAUACCGUCGUAGUCUUAACCAUAAACGAUGCCGACCAGCGAUUAGGAGACGUUGAAUACAAAACACCACCAUCGGCGCGGUCGUCCUUGGCGCCGUCCCGUUUCGGCGGGGCGGUUGCGGGGGCGGCUUAGCCCGGUGGCACCGGUGAAUGACUCCCCUAGCAGCUUGUGAGAA
rnacentral:rRNA from 1 species